UGUGAUUGCACUCAUUUCUCGAUAAAUUUCGCAAACCGACAAAACGAGCAAGCACAUGAUCCGUACGAAUAGGAAAUAAAAAAAUAAUUAAUUAUCCCCUUAUCUACCCAGAAUUCCGUACGAACAACACGUGAGACAGAUCGCGUGACAUGUGCCGCUCCAGUCAAAGGGAAGAGUACACGUGGUUGGUGUCACAGAGAGGUGGCGGCCUAUGGGAGCUUAAUUUCUGACACUGACAUCUAAUCCCGCUUUGAUUCGAACACGUGGCAUCCUCUUUUAUUAGAUCUGAUAUUUUGAUUUCUCGAGAUCUCCGUGAUCCUUGACUCUGCUUUUUCUGUUCCUUGAUUUUUCAUUUUCCUCUUUUUUUUAAAAAAAUUAAUUGAAGAUUUA
rnacentral:lncRNA from 1 species